rnacentral:rRNA from 1 species
GUGAAAAGUACCCCGGGAGGGGAGUGAAAUAGUACCUGAAACCGUGUGCUUACAAGCCGUUGGAGCCUUUUGGGGUGACAGCGUGCCUUUUGAAGAAUGAGCCUGCGAGUUAGUGUUAUGUCGCGAGGUUAACCCGUGUGGGGUAUCCGUAGCGAAAGCGAGUCUGAAUAGGGCGUUUGAGUGGCAUGACCUAGACCCGAAGCGGAGUGAUCUAUCCAUGGCCAGGUUGAAGCGACGGUAAGACGUCGUGGAGGACCGAACCCACUUCAGUUGAAAAUGGAGGGGAUGAGCUGUGGAUAGGGGUGAAAGGCCAAUCAAACUCUGUGAUAGCUGGUUCUCCCCGAAAUGCAUUUAGGUGCAGCGUUACGUGUUUCUUGCCGGAGGUAGAGCUACUGGAUGGCCGAUGGGCCUUCACGGGUUACUGACGUCAGCUAAACUCCGAAUGCCGGUAAGUGAGAGCGUAGCAGUGAGACAGUGGGGGAUAAGCUUCAUUGUCGAGAGGGAAACAGCCCAGACCACCAACUAAGGCCCCUAAGCGUGUGCUAAGUGGGAAAGGAUGUGGAGUUGCUUAGACAACCAGGAGGUUGGCUUAGAAGCAGCCAUCCUUGAAAGAGUGCGUAACAGCUCACUGGUCAAGUGAUUCUGCGCCGAUAAUGUAGCGGGGCUCAAGUACACCGCCGAAGUUGUGGCAAUGAUCUUUUUGGAUUGUUGGGUAGGGGAGCGUCGUGUAGCCGGUGAAGCUGCGGUGUAAACCAGUGGUGGAGGCUAUGCGAGUGAGAAUGCAGGCAUGAGUAGCGAAAGAUGAGUGAGAAACUCAUCCGCCGGAUGAUCAAGGGUUCCAGGGUCAAGUUAAUCUGCCCUGGGUUAGUCGGGGCCUAAGGCGAGGCCGACAGGCGUAGUCGAUGGAUAACGGGUUGAUAUUCCCGUACCGGUGAAAAACCGCCCAUACUGAUAUUGUGAUGCUAACCAUGCGAAGCAUGAUGUGCAGGCUUUUGUUUGUGUGUUGUGUGGGUUGUGGGACCCGAUCUUUGGAGGUAAACGUGUUAACAGGUGUGACGCAGGAAGGUAGCCAAGCCACGCGAUGGUUGUCGUGGUCUAAGCGUGUAGGGUUGUCGGUUGUUAAAUGCGCCGGCUGUGUGCCUGAGACGUGAUGGGACCCCGUUUUUGGGGGAUUUGGUGAUCCUAUGCUGCCGAGAAAAGCAUCGGCGUGAGGUUUUAGCCGCCCGUACCCUAAACCGACACAGGUGAUCAGGUAGAGAAUACUAAGGCGAUCGAGAGAAUCAUGGUUAAGGAACUCGGCAAAAUGCCCCCGUAACUUCGGGAGAAGGGGGGCCCUGAGCGUGAUCUGCCCGUGCGGUGGGGAGCGUGUAGGGGUCGCAGAGACCAGGGGGAAGCGACUGUUUAUCAAAAACACAGGUCCGUGCGAAGUCGUAAGACGAUGUAUACGGACUGACUCCUGCCCGGUGCUGGAAGGUUAAGAGGAUUGGUUAGCCCUUUUGGGCGAAGCUGAGAAUUUAAGCCCCAGUAAACGGCGGUGGUAACUAUAACCAUCCUAAGGUAGCGAAAUUCCUUGUCGGGUAAGUUCCGACCUGCACGAAUGGCGUAACGACUUCCCCGCUGUCUCAACCAUGAGCUCGGCGAAAUUGCAGUACGAGUAAAGAUGCUCGUUUCGCGCAGAAGGACGGAAAGACCCCGGGACCUUUACUAUAGCUUGGUAUUGGUGUUCGCUUGGACUUGUGUAGGAUAGGUGGGAGACUGUGAAGCUGCCGCGCCAGCGGUGGUGGAGUCGUCGUUGAAAUACCAUUCUGGUUCAAGCGGUCACCUUAACCUUGGCCCGUGAUCCGGGUUGGGGACAGUGCCUGGUGGGUAGUUUAACUGGGGCGGUUGCCUCCUAAAAUGUAACGGAGGCGCUCAAAGGUUCCCUCAGCCUGGUUGGUAAUCAGGUGGCGAGUGCAAGUGUACAAGGGAGCUUGACUGUGAGACCGACGGGUCGAGCAGGUGCGAAAGCAGGAACUAGUGAUCCGGCCAUGGCACGUGGGUGCGUGGUCGCUCAACGGAUAAAAGGUACCCCGGGGAUAACAGGCUGAUCUUGCCCAAGAGUCCAUAUCGACGGCAUGGUUUGGCACCUCGAUGUCGGCUCGUCGCAUCCUGGGGCUGGAGUCGGUCCCAAGGGUUGGGCUGUUCGCCCAUUAAAGCGGUACGCGAGCUGGGUUCAGAACGUCGUGAGACAGUUCGGUCCCUAUCCGCUGCGCGCGUUGGAAAUUUGAGAAAGGCUGUCCUUAGUACGAGAGGACCGGGACGGACGAACCUCUGGUAUGUCAGUUGUACCGCCAGGUGCAUGGCUGAUUGGCUACGUUCGGGAGGGAUAACCGCUGAAAGCAUCUAAGCGGGAAGCCUGUUUCGAGAUGAGAUUUCCUGGCACUUUUUGGUGUGUGAGGCUCCUUAUAGAUGAUGAGGUUGAUAGGCCGGGUAUGGAAGCGAGGACUGAAGACUCGUGGAGUUGACUGGUACUAAUAGGCCGAAGGCUUACUUUU